GAUUGCACUAACUGUAAGUCGCUCUGGAUAAGAGCAUCUGCUAAAUGACUUAAA
rfam:Salmo salar isolate Sally breed double haploid chromosome ssa29, whole genome shotgun sequence.